UACAGAGGGCCCAAGCGUUGUUCGGAUUCACUGGGCGUAAAGGGUGCGUAGGCGGUCGGGUAAGUCUGACGUGAAAUCUUCAAGCUCAACUUUGAAACUGCGUCGGAUACUAUUCGGCUAGAGGAAUGGAGGGGAGACUGGAAUACUUGGUGUAGCAGUGAAAUGCGUAGAUAUCAAGUGGAACACCAGUGGCGAAGGCGAGUCUCUGGACAUUUCCUGACGCUGAGGCACGAAAGCCAGGGGAGCAAACGGG
rnacentral:rRNA from 1 species